CAAUAGCGUAUAUUUAAGUUGUUGCAGUUAAAAAGCUCGUAGUCGGAUUUUGGCUGAGAACGAACGGUCCGCCGUUAGGUGUGCACUGUUUGGUCUCAGCUUCCUGGUGAGGAGGUGUGCUUCACGGCCACUUAGUCACCGUGGUUACUUUGAAAAAAUUAGAGUGUUCAAAGCGGGCUUACGCUUGAAUAUAUUAGCAUGGAAUAACACCAUAGGACUCCUGUCCUACUUCGUUGGUCUCGGGACGGGAGUAAUGAUUAAGAGGAACAGUUGGGGGCAUUCGUAUUUCAUUGUCAGAGGUGAAAUUCUUGGAUUUAUGAAAGACGAACUUCUGCGAAAGCAUUUGCCAAGGAUGUUUUCAUUG
rnacentral:rRNA from 1 species